CUUGACUAAUUAUAAGAGGUUUAGCCUGCCCAGUGACACAUGUUCAACGGCCGCGGUAUCCUAACCGUGCGAAGGUAGCGUAAUCACUUGUUCUUUAAAUGAGGACUAGUAUGAACGGCAUCACGAAGGUUAUACUGUCUCCUUUCUCUAAUCAGUAAAACUAAUCUCCCCGUGAAGAAGCGAGGAUAAAUUUAUAAGACGAGAAGACCCUAUGGAGCUUUAAACUAACCAGCAUUUGCUAUAUAUAAAAUUUUUAAUAACUUUAAAGAUAAUCUAGCCCUCUGACUGGUAAUUUUCGAUUGGGGUGAUCACGGAACAAAAAUAACCUCCGUGUCGAAAGGGCUUACCUGAGCAAAAAGCGACAGCUUUCCGCACUAAAAAAUUAACGUUUAUUGACCCAAUAUUUUGAUCAACGAAC
rnacentral:rRNA from 1 species